UCAUCUGGGAUCUUGUUAAAAUUCAGAUUCUAGUUGCCCAAGUGCUGGGUAAGGUGUGGGAUUCUGCAUUUCUAACAAGCCCCCAACUGUU
rnacentral:miRNA from 14 species